UAGGGAAUCUUCCACAAUGGGCGCAAGCCUGAUGGAGCAACACCGCGUGAAUGAAGAAGGGUUUCGGCUCGUAAAGCUCUGUUGUUAAAGAAGAACACGUAUGAGAGUAACUGUUCAUACGUUGACGGUAUUUAACCAGAAAGUCACGGCUAACUACGUGCUAG
rnacentral:rRNA from 1 species